GACGUAGGGCGCGAGCGUUGUCCGGAUUUAUUGGGCGUAAAGAGCUCGUAGGCGGCUUGUCGCGUCGGCUGUGAAAACCCGCGGCUCAACUGUGGGCGGGCAGCUGAUACGGGCAGGCUGGAGUUCGGUAGGGGAGACUGGAAUUCCGGUGUAGCGGUGAAAUGCGCAGAUAUCAGGAAGGAACACCCGGUGGCGAAGGCGGGCUCU
rnacentral:rRNA from 1 species